UGGGGAAUCUUGCACAAUGGGCGCAAGCCUGAUGCAGCCAUGCCGCGUGAGUGAUGACGGCCCUAGGGUUGUAAAGCUCUUUCACCAGGGAAGAAAAUGACGGUACCUGGAGAAGAAGCCCCGGCUAACUCCGUGCCAGCAGCCGCGGUAAUACGGAGGGGGCUAGCGUUGUUCGGAAUUACUGGGCGUAAAGCGCGCGUAGGCGGACUUUCAAGUCAGGGGUGAAAUCCCGAGGCUCAACCUCGGAACUGCCUUUGAUACUGUAAGUCUUGAGUCCGAGAGAGGUGAGUGGAAUUCCUAGUGUAGAGGUGAAAUUCGUAGAUAUUAGGAAGAACACCAGUGGCGAAGGCGGCUCACUGGCUCGGUACUGACGCUGAGGUGCGAAAGCGUGGGGAGCAAACAGGAUUAGAUACCCCCGUAGUCC
rnacentral:rRNA from 1 species